GAUGAACGCUGGCGGCGUGCCUAAUACAUGCAAGUCGAGCGAACGGACGAGAAGCUUGCUUCUCUGAUGUUAGCGGCGGACGGGUGAGUAACACGUGGAUAACCUAACUAUCCGACUGGGAUAACUUCGGGAAACCGGAGCUACUACCGGAUAAUAUUUUGCACCGCAUUGUUCACAAGUGAAAGACGGUCUUGCUGUCACUUAUAGAUGGAUCCGCGCUGCAUUAGCUAGUUGGUAAGGUAACUGCUUACCAAGGCAACGAUGCAUAGCCGACCUGAGAGGGAGGACGGCCAGAUGGGAUCAGAGACACGUACGAGACUCCGACAGUGGGAAGCAGUAGGGAAUCUUCCGCAAGGGGCGAGUGCCGAACGGUGCAAAAUGGCGGAAAGGAUGAAGGACUUAGGAUCGGAAAGCUAUGAUAGCAGUAGAGUAGUAAAGUUUUAGUAACCGGGAACAUCAUGACAGUACCGAAUGAGAAAGCCACGGCUAACUACGUG
rnacentral:rRNA from 1 species